UAACAAACUCGUUUAUCAACACAAAAAAAAAAUAUUUACUGUCCACUUACCUCGGUGAGAUCCAUGAAAAUGACAUAUGAAAGCAAUAACAUUAUCAUCAUUAUGAAAUCAUAUAAACUGUAUAACAUAAUACUUACCACACCUUUGCAUUUCAAUCAUUAAACAACAUAUUUUCCUCAUUUACCAGCCUACUAGUAUCUAUGGGGAUCCAUAGGGGUCCCGCUACCCGUGAACCCUUAACAUUUAUAACCUGAUUCCAGGGCCGUCCCCAUACCCCGUCUGGUAUGGGUGCCAAAACCAUGAACAUCAAUACCCCGUCCGGUAUGAGGGUGAAACGGGCUGUCCCCAUACCCCGUCCGGUAUGAGAGACUACGUUCC
rnacentral:lncRNA from 1 species